rnacentral:rRNA from 1 species
GAUGAACGCUGGCGGCGUGCCUAAUACAUGCAAGUCGAGCGAACAGACGAGGAGCUUGCUCCUCUGACGUUAGCGGCGGACGGGUGAGUAACACGUGGAUAACCUACCUAUAAGACUGGGAUAACUUCGGGAAACCGGAGCUAAUACCGGAUAAUAUAUUGAACCGCAUGGUUCAAUAGUGAAAGACGGUUUUGCUGUCACUUAUAGAUGGAUCCGCGCCGCAUUAGCUAGUUGGUAAGGUAACGGCUUACCAAGGCAACGAUGCGUAGCCGACCUGAGAGGGUGAUCGGCCACACGGGAACUGAGACACGGUCCAUACUCCUACGGGAGGCAGCAGUAGGGAAUCUUCCGCAAUGGGCGAAAGCCUGACGGAGCAACGCCGCGUGAGUGAUGAAGGUCUUCGGAUCGUAAAACUCUGUUAUUAGGGAAGAACAAAUGUGUAAGUCACUAUGCACGUCUUGACGGUACCUAAUCAGAAAGCAACGGCUAACUACGUG